UGGGGAAUUUUGCACAAUGGGGGGAACCUUGAUGCAGCGACGCCGCGUGAGGGAUGGAGGCCUUCGGGUUGUGAACCUCUUUCGCUCGUGUGCAAGCCGCUAUUUGGGUAGUGGUGAGUGUAGCGGGUAAAGAAGCGCCGGCUAACUACGUGCCAGCAGCCGCGGUAAUACGUAGGGCGCGAGCGUUGUCCGGAUUUAUUGGGCGUAAAGGGCUUGUAGGCGGUUUGUCGCGCCUGUCGUGUAAUCCUCUGGCUUAACUGGGGGUGUGCGGUGGGUACGUGCAAGCUUGAGUGCGGUAGGGGAGAGUGGAAUUCCUGGUGUAGCGGUGGAAUGCGCAGAUAUCAGGAGGAACACCGGUGGCGAAGGCGGGUCUCUGGGCCGUUACUGACGCUGAGGAGCGAAAGCGUGGGGAGCGAACAGG
rnacentral:rRNA from 1 species